GUGGGGAAUAUUGCACAAUGGGCGCAAGCCUGAUGCAGCAACGCCGCGUGAGGGACGACGGCCUUCGGGUUGUAAACCUCUUUUAGCAGGGAAGAAGCGAAAGUGACGGUACCUGCAGAAAAAGCACCGGCUAACUACGUGCCAGCAGCCGCGGUAAUACGUAGGGUGCAAGCGUUGUCCGGAAUUAUUGGGCGUAAAGAGCUCGUAGGCGGUUUGUCGCGUCUGCUGUGAAAACCCGAGGCUCAACCUCGGGCCUGCAGUGGGUACGGGCAGACUAGAGUGCGGUAGGGGAGAUUGGAAUUCCUGGUGUAGCGGUGGAAUGCGCAGAUAUCAGGAGGAACACCGAUGGCGAAGGCAGAUCUCUGGGCCGUAACUGACGCUGAGGAGCGAAAGCGUGGGGAGCGAACAGGAUUAGAAACCCCUGUAGUCC
rnacentral:rRNA from 1 species